CUUCGGUGCGCCCGCCUCACGGCCGCCGGGGGGCUUCUGCCCCCGGGUCCGCGCGCACCGGAGACACUAUUGAACUCUGUCUGAAGAUUGCAGUCUGAGCAUAAACUAAAUAAGUUAAAACUUUCAACAACGGAUCUCUUGGUUCCGGCAUCGAUGAAGAACGCAGCGAAAUGCGAUAACUAAUGUGAAUUGCAGAAUUCAGUGAAUCAUCGAGUCUUUGAACGCACAUUGCGCCCCCUGGUAUUCCGGGGGGCAUGCCUGUCCGAGCGUCAUUGCUGCCCUCAAGCACGGCUUGUGUGUUGGGCUCCGUCCCCCCGGGGACGGGUCCGAAAGGCAGCGGCGGCACCGAGUCCGGUCCUCGAGCGUAUGGGGCUUUGUCACCCGCUCUGUAGGCCCGGCCGGCGCCAGCCGACAGCCAAUCAUCCUUUUUUCAGGUUGACCUCGGAUCAGGUAGGGAUACCCGCUGAACUUAAGCAUUCU
rnacentral:rRNA from 1 species